GCCAUAGUGGUGGAACUGACAUACACUUCCGUUUUAGGGGCGGACGCCGCAAGGAUUGAGGGUUUGAAUCCCUCCUAUGGCA
rnacentral:tRNA from 1 species